CCUAACACAUGCAAGUCGAACGGUAACAGGAAGAAGCUUGCUUCUUUGCUGACGAGUGGCGGACGGGUGAGUAAUGUCUGGGAAACUGCCUGAUGGAGGGGGAUAACUACUGGAAACGGUAGCUAAUACCGCAUAACGUCGCAAGACCAAAGAGGGGGACCUUCGGGCCUCUUGCCAUCGGAUGUGCCCAGAUGGGAUUAGCUAGUAGGUGGGGUAACGGCUCACCUAGGCGACGAUCCCUAGCUGGUCUGAGAGGAUGACCAGCCACACUGGAACUGAGACACGGUCCAGACUCCUACGGGAGGCAGCAGUGGGGAAUAUUGCACAAUGGGCGCAAGCCUGAUGCAGCCAUGCCGCGUGUAUGAAGAAGGCCUUCGGGUUGUAAAGUACUUUCAGCGGGGAGGAAGGGAGUAAAGUUAAUACCUUUGCUCAUUGACGUUACCCGCAGAAGAAGCACCGGCUAACUCCGUGCCAGCAGCCGCGGUAAUACGGAGGGUGCAAGCGUUAAUCGGAAUUACUGGGCGUAAAG
rnacentral:rRNA from 1 species